AUACGUAGGGGGCGAGCGUUGUCCGAAUUCACUGGGCGUAAAGCGCGCGUAGGCGGGUUAUUAAGUUAGUGGUGAAAUCCCGAGGCUCAACCUCGGAACUGCCGUUAAAACUGGUAGCCUUGAGGUAUGGAGAGGGAAGUGGAAUUCCAGGUGUAGCGGUGAUAUGCGUAGAUAUCUGGAGGAACACCCGUGGCGAAGGCGGCUUCCUGGCCAUAUCCUGACGCUGAGGUGCGAAAGCUAGGGGAGCGAACGGGAUUAGAUACCCCGGUAGUCCUAGCCGUAAACGAUGGAUACUAGGUGUUAGUGGUAUCGACCCCACUAGUGCCGGAGCUAACGCAUUAAGUAUCCCGCCUGGGGAGUACGACCGCAAGGUUGAA
rnacentral:rRNA from 1 species